rnacentral:rRNA from 1 species
UACGAAGGGUGCAAACUUGCUCGGAAUUAUUGGGCGUAAAGAGCGUGUAGGCGGCCAGACAGGUCAGCUGUGAAAACUCGAGGCUCAACCUCGAGACGUCGGUUGAAACCGUCUGGCUAGAGUCCGGAAGAGGAGAGUGGAUUCCCGGUGUAGCGGUGAAAUGCGCAGAUAUCGGGAAGAACACCCGUGGCGAAGGCGGCUCUCUGGGACGGUACUGACGCUGAGACGCGAAAAGCGUGGGGGAGCGAAACAGGG